rnacentral:snoRNA from 1 species
GGCGUUGUUCCAUCCGCACAUGAUUCUUCUCCCGGAGACGAGUGAUACUGCAGGCAACUGAAGGC